AGCCAAUAGAUACCCGGGUAGUCCACGCCCUAAACGAUGUCUACUAGUUGUUGGUGGAGUAAAAUCCAUGAGUAAAACGCAGUACUAACGCGACGAAGUACGACCGCCGUGGGGAGUACGGUCGACAAGUAAUUAAAACUACGAAAAGGUAAUUGGGACCGGGGGCCCGCAACAAGGCGGGUGGUAUUAUGGUGGUAAUUAAAUUCGAUGACAACGAACGUAAAAACCCUUACCGUGGUCCUUGACAUCGCCAACUAAACGAAGCAGAGAUGCAUUAGGUCGCCCGGUAAAGGGAAAGUGGACACAGGUGCUGCAUGGCUGUCGUCAGCUCGUGUCGUGAGAUGUUGGGUUAACGUCCGCAACGAGCGCAACCCUUGCCAUUAAUUGCCAUCAUUUA
rnacentral:rRNA from 1 species